rnacentral:tRNA from 1 species
UCCCAGGUGGUCUAGUGGUUAAGGACUUGGCGUUGUCACUGCUGUGGCUCAGAUUCAAUUCCUGGCCAGGAAA